GAAAUGUUCGUCUCAAAAUAAAGCAAAGGAGAACACCAGUAGCAUACAAAAGUUUGGCGCGUGAGUGUAAAGAUAAAAUUGAGAUGGAAUAAUAUUGGCCCAGCGGAGAAUUGGGGUGAAAUGAUUGUAGGCCUUAUGCCAGGUGUCAAUAUACAAUAGGUUGUUGUAUUUUGAUGUCGUACAUCGGACUGGUAUAAUUUGCGGAGUUUCUUGCACUUUUCCUCGUCAAACAUCAACUUACAGGAGACUCACUCCAAAAAGCUCGCUUACUGUCUCAGUCCUCUAACUAAUACUGUUCCCCGCCUGUUCCACCAUGAAAAUCCGGCCAAACUCCACCCCUACUUUGCCAUCUCUUUUUCGCUCCCGAUAGAUCACUGCCGUUAUUCGAUAACAACAGCUAAUCCAUUGGUAUAUGCUUAUGGAUUACAGAAAGAGCUCACGGUGUGGGUGCAUGAACUGAAAUUUGCAAACGCACACCCCUCUGCUCACUGCUGACUUCACUAAUGGCUUCCACCAGUUCAACGCCUACUGACCCUUCUUCUUUUAUGGCCGAGGACACGGCAGCCAAAGCUGUGAUCAAGCGAUACGAAGGGUUGGUUGCGGUUCGAACGAAGGCGACAAAGGGCAAAGGAGCAUGGUACUGGACUCAUUUAGAGCCAAUUCUCAUCAGAAACCCAGACACAAGUCUCCCCAAAGCUGUCAAACUCAAGUGUUCUUUAUGCGACGCCGUCUUUUCAGCCUCAAACCCAUCGAGAACCGCCACUGAGCAUCUCAAACGAGGCACCUGCCCCAAUUUCAACUCCGUUUUGAGACCCAAUUCCGUAGUUUCGCCUUUGCCUAUUUCGUCUUUGCCU
rnacentral:misc_RNA from 1 species